UACGUAGGGGGCAAGCGUUGUCCGGAGUUACUGGGCGUAAAGCGCACGCAGGCGGUCUCUUAAGUUUGGAGUGACAGUUGGUGGCUUAACUGCCAAAGUGCUUCGAAAACUGAGAGACUUGAGGGCUUCAGAGGGACACGGAAUUCCGGGUGGAGUGGUGAAAUGCGUAGAGAUCCGGAGGAACACCAAAGGCGAAGGCAGGCCCCCCUGGGUUAACACUGACGCUCAGGCACGAAAGCGUGGGGAGCAAACAGG
rnacentral:rRNA from 1 species